AAUGAAAACAAGCGCAGACGGUUCCACCACCACGACCGCCUCCGCGGCGGCGACCUCAUCUGCCAUCUGGAAAUUCGCAGUUUCGCAGCGGUUCCAGCACUUCUUAGACAAGUCAACACCGUACUUGCUCUACCGUUGGACCGCCUUCCUUUGCAUCGCAUUGAUCUAUGGCCUCCGGGUUUACCUGCUCCAGGGAUUCUACGUGGUUUCCUACGCCCUCGGCAUCUACUUGCUCAAUUUGUUCAUCGCUUUCCUCUCGCCGCAGGACGACUCCGAAUUCGACGCCACGCUCCCUAUUCGGAGCUCCGAAGAGUUCCGCCCCUUCGUCCGCCGCGUCCCCGAAUUCAAAUUCUGGUUCGUCUCUCUUUUUUUCUCUUCCCCAAUUUCAAAUUUAAUUAUCUUAAGUUUUGUUUUGUAAUUAAUUUCCGCAUUCCUAAUUUGAUCGCUUCAGAUUUCUGACCGAUUCUCUACUAAUUCCUAGCAUCUGUGUGCCCUAAUUAAUGCUUCUAAAAUUUCGCUCAAUUUACUCCCUUUAAGUAGUACUCCGUAUAUUGCAAUAUUGGAAGAUAAGAGAGAUCUACUAGGGCUAUAUAGUUGUGGCUUUGGAUUUGAAAUUUAUGCAAACGGUAUUUCCUUCAGAAUUUUUUUCUGUAGUAAUGCUUUGAAAGCUUUAAUCUGGUUUUCAACUUGAGGCACUAAUUUGCACCGUACGUUGGUCCAAACUCCAAAAGUUAAUGUUGUGUAGUUCUGUGGUUUCUGUAGUUAGCUAAUGUUACCUGAAUGCUGUGAUGAUGUGAUAGUUAGCAUGCCAGUCUCAGGAAUAUUGGUGAUCAAAAACAAUUUCAUGUCUGAAUGUUGAUGGAUUGGCACUGUCUGAAUGUUUAACUUUAAUGCCAUGGCACAAUCAAGAAAAAUCAGAUAUCUGUAAAUGGAUCAUGGGGGUACCCAGCAAUUAGGUUUUAUGAUAAAACAAAAUUUGAAGAUGAAUAAUCUUGGCGAGGUGAGGGUCUGAGUACUGAGCUUGAUAUGUUCAAAACUAAGUUCACUUUUUGUCUUCGUUCUGAGAUUGGUUGUCUUCUGAAAGCAUACUGUAUAAUUUUUUAUAUAAUUGGAAUACCACUAAAGCCUUCUGCAUUGCAUUCGUGCUGACAUUCUUUGGCAUAUUUGACGUGCCUGUGUUUUGGCCGAUACUUCUCUUCUACUGGGUCAUGCUGUGCACGCUAAUGCUGAGGAGGCAGAUACUUCAUAUGAUGAAAUAAAAAUAUGUUCCAUUUUCUACCGGGAAGCAGAAGUAUGGUGGAAAGAGAGACUCCUCUCCUUUCAGAAGUAUGGUGGAAAGAGAGACUCCUCUCCUGAGAGAGAGAGCUUAAAUCCCUAGUUGAAAAUUUGAGGCAAAACUUUGGGGCUUCCAUAGCUGAUCAAAGCAAUCCUUGAUUUGCCCAGCAAAGUUGAAAUCUUACAGCCAACAAUGAUUUUGGUUGAUGUUGCAUAACGUUUAGAUGUUGAAUAGAUUAAUAAAGAAAAUUGCAAUUCAUGGUCUUGGAGCUAUACUGAAUUUGAUAUCUAUGAGUACUAUAUAAAAUUAAACAUAUUGACAGCUAAUUGAAAUGGAACCGGGCUUACUAUUGAAA